AUUGUACUUGAAAUUUAUCUAUUUGUGUCUUGUAUAUAGCUGAUGGAACCCAAUGAGGCAAUGACCAGUAUGAAGAAUGGACUGAUUUCAGGGAAAGAAGAUAUUAUUUCAUUGGGCUGAUUUGCACCCAAAAUUAAUUUUUACAAUAUUGAGUCAGUUGGGUUCAUGGCUUGUUUGACAUUCAUAAAACAUGGCGUAUUUGUGUGCAACACUUCAGGACAAAG